AGGACGAACGCUGGCGGCGUGCUUAACACAUGCAAGUGGAGCGACGAACCAGGGCUUGCCCUGGGGCAGAGCCGCGAACGGGUGAGUAACACGUGGGUUACCUGCCUCGAUGACCGGGACAACCCGAGGAAACUCGGGCUAAUACCGGAUGUGCCCGCAAGGGGAAAGGAAGCUUCGGCCUCCGCAUCGAGAUGGGCCCGCGGCCCAUUAGCUUGUUGGUGAGGUAACGGCUCACCAAGGCUUCGAUGGGUAGCUGGUCUGAGAGGACGAUCAGCCACACUGGGACUGAGACACGGCCCAGACUCCUACGGGAGGCAGCAGUGGGGAAUCUUGCGCAAUGCGCGAAAGCGUGACGCAGCAACGCCGCGUGGGGGAAGAAGGCUUUCGGGUUGUAAACCCUUUCAGUUGGGACGAAGCUUCUCCGGUGAAUAGCCGGACGGAGUGACGGUACCUUCACAAGAAGCACCGGCUAACUACGUGCCAGCAGCCGC
rnacentral:rRNA from 1 species